CUCCCAGGAAGGGGCAAGGCUGGUGCACUUUGGUGAGGAGGCAGCUGGUAAUUCUGUCUGCAUCUUCUCCUUAAGUUGUAAACUUCUCAGUGCUUUCCUGAGGCUUGCAAUCAAGACUUACCAAGCACCACAGGCUAAUGUGGGAAAACCAGGAAGGGUGCUACCUGUGCUUGGGACACAGCAGAAUGGAGAGUCCUGGCUUGAAGAUGUGACUUCAAGAAAGCAAGUGUGAGCAGAAGAGGCACAGGCUCAGGGGUCCGAAGACCAGUUGGUAAACUGCAGCUGUGACUGCUUUUCAGAACAGGCAAAUGCUCCCUAAAGGCCCUGGAAAUGGGAUGGAAAGAGAAACUCCUAAAAGACUCAGCAUGGGUCUCAGACUACCUUGGAUGGGUAUGGAAGUAUUAUCCAAACUGGAGAACUCCAUAGGCCCAUUUUACUGAUGAGAAAACUCUGUUUUUGAGAUGAAAAGAAAACAAUCAGGAAUAUAAUAUUGUGAAGUGCUGAGAUUUGCACCCAGGAUGAUGGACUUCCCUAGCCUCUGUUUUCCCCACGGCAUUUUGGUGGUGUCUUGCAGCUGGCUGGAGUUACCAGAGGAGGUGGAAGUUUCAUUAAGUCUUUAAAAAGGAUUCAUAGAAUGAGCACAGGGGAAGAUAAAAUAAGCCGGGGAACAUUGGCAGCUGGCGAGCCUUUCUGGAGUGGCGAGAGAGUCUGCACCUGCCAGGAGCCAGAGGAGGGGAAAGACGUCCUCACUUCUAAACACCGACGUGGAACUGUCCCCUGCACUCCCAGAGCACUGUCGCAGGGACAUUCGAGAUGAUUGACGCUAAUGGAUGGGUUUAGUGCCCAGGAAGGCCCCGUUUAGAGAGCCCUAUCCCUCCUACUCUGAGAGGACACAGCUGGAAGGUAACCAUCUAGAAGCCAGGAAGUGAACUCCUGCCAGGCAUUGAGUCAGUCUGUGCCUUCAUCUUGGACUUCCAGCUUCCAGAACUCAUCGUUUAGGUUGGUGCGAAGGGAGAGAAGUCAGCGGGACCAGGAUUUAAGAAAGUCGCUAAUAUCGAGACGAACCAAGUCUUCCACGCUUUGCAAAACAUGCCUGGCCAUUGCUUGGAGGAAGCCUGCUGCACAUUACACCCAGAAAACAGGCCCUUUGAGCAGAAGCUCUUGGCAAGAAUUACAUUAAGACCACUCACUUGGAGGAGCUCACAAUGCUGUAUUGCCUUGAAUCUCAGAGAAGACUUUGGACUUGAACUUUGAGCAUUCUCAGAAGUUUGGAGACUAUGGGGAUUAUUGAGAAUGGACUAAAUGUAUUUUGCAUUGUCAGAUGAGUUUGAGAUUUUGGGGUCCAGGGGUGGAGCGUUAUGAUUUAAAUUUGGUAUCCCACAAAAGCUCAUGUGUGAAACAAUGUGAGAAGGUUCAGAGGGGAAAUGAUUAGGCUGUGAACGCCUUAAAGUAAUCAGUGAAUUAAUCUUCAAUGGGAUUAACUGAGCGAUA